rnacentral:rRNA from 1 species
AUGUAUGCCUUUGAUAUGGACCUUGAAAUUCUACAUGUCUUUGACCCGAAGCGCACAUGUGCUGGAAUAAGGAUUCUGGAGAGGCUUCAUCAUGAUACUUGUGAGAUACUACUGGAUGGACUUCUACGGUGUGUCGAUGCUUACUUUGAAGGAUGGGAACAUGACAGAUCAAGAUGGAAGUUCAAAUACCAUGAUUAUGUUAAUACUCCUUGCCGCACAGAGGACACACAAGUCUAUGGAUUUCACUACAUCUUGUCUUUUGAUGGCAUGCAUGUCCACGGCAACAUUGACAAGGAUAGCGUGGAUCAUCUGAGAAAAAAACUGAUGUACCUUGUGCUUCAGAUGGAAAGCAAUUUGGGUUAUGACGAUCCUGUAAGCGACGACGAAUGA